GAACCACCGUGAGAACAGCUGGUACUCAUGGACCAGUGGCAGCUGGAUGACCCGCAGUCGCCAUCCACUGAAUCCUUCCAGGAACACCUGCACGUGGAAGCAGAUUGUCUGCUUGAGUGGGAGACAUAGAGCCAAACCCAUGGCUUGUCAUGGGAAAAUCACAUGUAACCACCGCUGUACCUGCAUGGGCUGCUUACGGGGGUUGGGCUGGAAAACUUGACCAUAGUCUACAAGCUCUGCAGUUAACAGGAAGAAUCUUCUGCACUCCUUCUGGUCUUACUGCCCAAGUCAAGCCUGGAGGACCUUAAGGAGAGUCACCAGCUUUCUCUUGCUCUGCCGUGUUGGCCAGCAUCUAUUUUACAUUUGAAUGACUCCUCAAUGCCUACUACUAGGGAGAAUCCACCUGGAAUCCAGAUUUUUCCUUCUAAAUACCAGGAGAUCUGAUCACACCGGGCCCCAAAUCCCUCCUGGCAAUGACCGGAGCCCAUGUUCUCUAUAGGCAAGUCCCUGAGAGGCUGUUUUCUUUCUCCUCAAGGCGGGAGGCCAAGGGCCACUCAUGCUUCAUCUUCUCCCACCUGGCCUGCUUCCCUCACUGAAAUAAGGGUUGAUGUGUUUAUAUGUAAAUGUAUGCAGUACGCAGUCACCUCCCGCCCUGGAAGACCUUGGAGUUGGAGUCUGAUCCUUCCUGUGAAGUGUUCAUGGUGGACAUUGAGCCACAGAGCUCCUGCUGGCAAGAUGGCACCUUGGUGCGAAAGACAAAAGGGCCCCCUGGGGGAGCAGACAGUACACAGGUGCCCCCGUGGGUAAUGAAUUCCCCAGGGCUGUGCUGGGCUUGGCUUCAUUCUCCUCAGCAGCCCUAUUUGUGUGGCCAUGGGUGAAUCUGGGAGCCCGACAGCAAGGACAUCGCCUGCCGUUACUCAGCUCUUCCGAUUCGAUGUGCACCGAGCCUGGUCACCUGCUAGCAGGGACACAUGCCUGAGGUCCUCCUGCAGGCCAGGUUUCCUGCCAGUGCUGGGAGCCUGGAGUGGGUGUCGGCUAGGGUUUCCUCUGUCCUCCUCCCCACCCCUUGGCUCCCAGACCAUCCAUCAGCCCACAGCUCACCUGUGAAACCCAAGGCUGGGAACCGCGGUGCUAUUCUGUUACAAAAUCAAGAUUUAUCGGAACAUGACAGGCCUGGAGGGGUUUUAUGACAUGCACGGCGCCAAUCCCUCCUGUUGACCUAUUUGUCCCCGGUGGGGCGGGGCGUUUUACGACUGCCGACACCACUCCAUCUGCUCCUGGGCUCGCAGCGUUUUGACAGGGAGGACAAAAUGUCCAGCCUGGGCCAGACUCCGCGGGCUGGAUUAUCACUUCAGCACUGAGCACUCAGCCCCUUCCCCUUGGAGAAAGACCUCAAGCCCCGCUCCCCCCGCCCCGGCUCGGCCUGGUGUGAAUGAAAUUCAAAUCGAGCUCUGACAGCCCCAUGAAUUGUCUGUUUUCCAACCUGCCUCCCGCUCUUUCAUCUUCAUGGCAGAAACAGUGAAAUCAUCCGUUCCCAUCUCUACAAAGGCCCCACCACACCCCAAUUGCCUGUGUCUCGAGAGAAACGUGGUGUGGGGACCAUUUGGAGCCUCUUUAAAAACGAGGUCACCACAUCCUGAGGCUGCCUGGGAAUUGCCAUUCGGCAAGGUAGGGAGGGACCCCGGGGGUGACCAGGACACUGGGCCAGCUCUUCUAAUGAUUUAGUUAAAGAGUUAAGUCGUGUUUACAUGAAAUGGAACCCGUCAGGAAAUUGGAAGCUCUCGGCCUUGCUGUGAGUUCUGCCUCGUCCAACACUGUUCCCCCACUGUAUGUCCGCCCUGGGCGCGGAGCUGGGAUGGGUUUUAUUUUAUUAAAGGGGCAGGGUUUCUUUCUGUUUACUUGGUGUGCUCCCUUCUUUAUCAGCCUGAGUCCUGGCUCUGGGAUGGGGAAGCUGAGAGAUGUUUGAUGUUCAGAAAAGGAGGCUGAAAAGGGCUUCUCUUGGGUGGGUAGAAGGGGCAGCACCCCUGAAGAUUGCUUCCCGCUGAGAAGGGUCCCGGCCAGAGGGUGACGCAGGCUGGUGUGCGCUGAGACCAG
rnacentral:lncRNA from 1 species